rnacentral:rRNA from 1 species
AUGUUUAAUUUGAUCACGCAGUUUGCUUCAGCCAUUGGCAAGAAGACUCGCAUCAACAUUGUCGUCAUUUGGCAUCUCGACUCUGGCAAGUUGACCACCACUAGCCAUCUUAUGUACAAGCUUGGAGGUAUUGACAAGCGUGUGAUCGAGAGGUUGGAUUGGGAAGGUGCUGAGAUGAACAAGAUAUCAUUCAACUACACGUGGGUGCUUGGCAAGAUGAAGGUUGAGCGAGAGAGGGGUAUCACCAUUGAUAUUGCCCUGUGGAAGUUUGAGACAAGAAAGUACUAUCGCGUGUUGCACUAG